rfam:Burkholderia pseudomallei strain K96243, chromosome 1, complete sequence.
UGUCUCCUCCACCCUCCUCCUUUGGUGGAUUAAGCCCGAACCAGCGGUUCGGGCUUUUUUUC